rnacentral:rRNA from 1 species
GAUGGACGCUGGCGGCGUGCCUAAUACAUGCAAGUCGAGCGAACCACUUCGGUGGUGAGCGGCGAACGGGUGAGUAACACGUAGGUUAUCUGCCCAUCAGACGGGGACAACGAUUGGAAACGAUCGCUAAUACCGGAUAGGACGAAAGUUUAAAGGUGCUUCGGCACCACUGAUGGAUGAGCCUGCGGCGCAUUAGCUAGUUGGUAGGGUAAAGGCCUACCAAGGCGACGAUGCGUAGCCGACCUGAGAGGGUGAACGGCCACACUGGGACUGAGACACGGCCCAGACUCCUACGGGAGGCAGCAGUAGGGAAUCUUCGGCAAUGGGCGAAAGCCUGACCGAGCAACGCCGCGUGAAUGAUGAAGGCCUUCGGGUUGUAAAAUUCUGUUAUAAGGGAAGAAUGGCUUUAGUAGGAAAUGGCUAGAGUGUGACGGUACCUUAUGAGAAAGCCACGGCUAACUACGUGCCAGCCGCCGCGGUAAAAC